rnacentral:rRNA from 1 species
UACGUAGGUGGCAAGCGUUGUCCGGAUUUACUGGGCGUAAAGAGCGCGCAGGCGGUCGGAUAAGUCGAAUGUGAAAGCCCCCGGCUCAACUGGGGAGGGUCAUUCGAUACUGUUCGACUCGAAGGCAGGAGAGGGAAGUGGAAUUCCCGGUGUAGUGGUGAAAUGCGUAGAUAUCGGGAGGAACACCAGUGGCGAAGGCGGCGACCUGGGUAGAUACUGACGCUGAGGCGCGAAAGCGUGGGGAGCAAACAGG